rnacentral:tRNA from 1 species
GCCGAAGUGGCGGAACUGGCAUACGCGCUGCGUUCAGGGCGCAGUGACCGCAAGGUCUUGAGAGUUCAAAUCUCUCCUUCGGCACCA